UGGGGAAUUUUCCGCAAUGGGCGAAAGCCUGACGGAGCAAUGCCGCGUGAAUGAAGAAGGUCUUCGGAUCGUAAAGUUCUGUCAUCAGGGAAGAACAGCAGUGGUGUGAAUAAUGCCAUUGCCUGACGGUACCUGAGGAGGAAGCCACGGCUAACUACGUGCCAGCAGCCGCGGUAAUACGUAGGUGGCGAGCGUUGUCCGGAAUUACUGGGCGUAAAGGGCGUGUAGGCGGGAAUUUAAGUCAGAUGUGAAAGACCCGGGCUCAACUUGGGGAUUGCAUUUGAUACUGGAUUUCUUGAGGACAGGAGAGGAAAGCGGAAUUCCUAGUGUAGCGGUGAAAUGCGUAGAUAUUAGGAGGAACACCAGUGGCGAAGGCGGCUUUCUGGACUGUAACUGACGCUGAGGCGCGAAAGCGUGGGGAGCGAACGGG
rnacentral:rRNA from 1 species